rnacentral:lncRNA from 1 species
AUGGAAUUUUCUGGGAAUUUCUGCAUUUUUCUGGAAUUUUGGGAUGAGGGAUUUUGGGAUUUUCCACCCUGGAAUUGCAGAAUUCCCAUCGGAAUCGGCGCUGCCGUUGUCUCACCCGCAUCUUCUCCGGAGCCACCCCCCAGCAGGAGCCCUGAGACCGAAUUCCGGGAUUUUCCGGGAAUUUUCUGGGAAUUUCUGGAGUUUUCCGAAAUUUUGGGAUCUUUGGGAUCUGGGAUUUGGGGAUUUUCCCCCCGGAAUUGGGACGGAUUCCUUCGGGAUUGGAGUUUUUCAGGAUCUUCUCCGGCGCCGCCCCGCACCAGGAGCCAUGAGACCGAAUUCCGGGAAUUUUAUGGAAUUUUCUGUGAUUUUCCGGAAUUUUCCAGGAUUUUGGGAUCCGGGAUUUUGGGGAUUUCCCCUGGUGGAAUUGCAGAAUUCCCAUCGGAAUUGGCGCUGCCGGCAUCUCACCACCAUCUUCUCUGGAGCCGCGCCCUACCUGGCGCCCUGACCGGGAUUUUCCGGAAUUUUCUGGGAUUUUCCGGGAUUUUCCAGGAUUUUGGGAUCCGGGAUUUGGGGAUUUUCCCCCGGAAUUGCAGAAUUCCCAUCGGAAUUGGCGCUGCCGAAGCUUCGCCCGCAUCUUCUCCGGGGCCGCGCCGCACCAGGAGCCCUGAGACGGAAUUCCGGGAUUUUCCGGGAAUUUCCAGGAAUUUUCCGGAAUUUUCUGCAUUUUCUGGAAUUUUGGGAUCUUUGGGAUCCGGGAUUUUGGGAUUUCCCCCCUGGAAUUGCAGAAUUCCCAUCGGGAUUUUCUGGGAAUUUUCCGUGAUUUUGGGAUUCUUGGGGAUCUGUUUGGGAUCUGGGAUUUUGGAAUUCUUUGGGAUUUUCGGGCUCCGGGAUUUUGGGAUUUCCCCCCUGGAAUUGCAGAAAUCCCAUCGGGAUUUUCGGGAAUUUUCCGGGAUUUGGGGAUUCUUUGGGAUCAAUUUUGGGGUCCGGGAAUUUGGGAUUGUUUGGGAUUGGGGAUUUUGGGUUUUUUGGGAUCAAUUUUGGGUCCGGGAUUUUGGGAUUUCCCCCCUGGAAUUGGGACGGAUCCCUCGGGAUCAGAACUUCCCUGAAAUUCCAGAACAUUCCAGGAGGAUCCAGAACUUUCCAUGGAAUUCCAGAAAUUCCGGAACUUUCCAUGGAAUUCCAGAACUUCUCACGGAAUUCCAGAAAUUCCAGAACUUUCCAUGGAAUUCCAGCACAUUCCAGAGGGGACCAAGAACAUUUCUGGGGGAUCCAGAAUUUUCCAUGGAAUUCCGGAACUUUUCCAGACCCUUCCAGGGGCUUCCAGAAAUUCCAGAACUUUCCACGGAAUUCCAGAACUUCCCAUGGAAUUGA